rnacentral:lncRNA from 1 species
GGGGAAGUAGGGGAAGUUGAAAUUUUGAAUAUUAGCCAUUGCAGUGGAAAUAUUUGCUUGCUAAAAGCUUAUAUUGAGUAAGCUGUCUGUAUGAUGUUUAUUGUUAGUGUUGAGUUGGGGAUAUAUAUUAGGUGUUAGUAUGAUAAUACUUGUAAGGUUCUUGUGACUUGAACCUCAGUCUAAGUUUUGCCCGGUUGUCAUUGGUUGCAUUCCAAAACACUCAUUUCUUCAUUUUUCACGGCGGUCAUGCUAACCACAGUUUCAUACAAUAAUCAUAUCUAUGAUUUGACAACUAAUUGAACCUUCUUUCUCCUCAAUGUUAUAUUAUGCCAUAAAUGGUUCCUGUAUAGAUUCUUGCCUGUUGGAUGAGAGCUCCCAGUCCCAAAACCCAUUGUGCUGCAUCUUCUGAUGUUAGGGAGGCGAACUGUAGUUAAAAUAAUGUUUAGAACUUUCAGCAUGAAGUUCUUAUUUUAAUACUUGGGGUAAUAUAUUAGCGUGUAUUAUGUAUGAAUAGAUUUAACUAGAUGAAAAAUUGUUGAGCUAAACGUUACUAUUUGACUUUAAUGACGUCUCCUCCGUCUCUUUUUUGGUACUAUUGCUUUCUUCAUACAAAAUUAUUUGGCGUGGGUCUGAAUUUAUCUUACCUAAGUAAUUUGAAUUACUGAUUAUUUCUUUGUCUAACAUGAAGUAAAUUUUAUUUUAAUGAAUUUACUUUCAUGUAGAAUGGUGAAGACCUACCUCAAAUUUCCAAUACACAGAAAAAGAAAAAGGACAACAAAGAGAUUCAGUUGCAAGUGGGCCAGAGCUUCCCCAAUACCCCCUAAUCGACCAAACUAUAUGUACACGAGUAUAUGUUUUUUUGAAUGAUAGAGAAUUACGAUUUUGUUUUAUAUUUUCUUUUGUUUCGGUAAGAAAGUGAUAAAGAGAGACGUCUUCCAAAUGCACACUUGAUUCCCCCCCCCCCC